CUUGAAGGGACUGCAAAAGGUCAAAAUAAUUCGUUGCAGGAAAUUAAAUGUAAAGGCAAUUUCUUCACUUUGCUCAGAGAUGUCAGUCAAAUCUGUGGAGGUAGACGAUGAAUAUGACUCUGAAGCGGAUGUGGAAGUAGACGAUGAAUAUGAAUCUAAAGAGGACGAAUAAGUGCACGUUGCUCUUGAAAGCUUCUUGAUCCACGACGACAAAUUGUUUCCUUGUGUUCAAACUUUAAACAAAUUGAGGUAACUUAUUUCAUCUGACAACCAAUGUUUUACCUUUUCUGCAAUCAAAUUC
rnacentral:lncRNA from 1 species